CGGCGGUGGCGGGAGCGAGUAUGUGAGUGUGAGUGUGAGUGUGAGUGUGAGUGUGAGUGUGAGUGUGAGUGUGAGUGUGAGUGUGAGUGUGAGUGUGAGUGUGAGUGUGAGUGACCCUCCCCCCCUCCCACAUACACUCUGAUCUUAUUUGAUCGGCCGGGCGGGAAGCCGGGGCCCCGGUUGGAGAUGAUGAGAAAGCGCCCGCGAGCCGCUGGCGAUGAGCGGAGGCGGCGGGAAAGGCCCCGGGCGGACGGAGCGGAGGUGAUGAACAGAUCAGAUAGACGAGGCUGUGGCCCCCAGCCCAGCCACUGAGUAUCGAGGCGAUUCUGAUCCGC